rnacentral:rRNA from 1 species
AAUGAACGCUGGCGGCGCGCCUAAUACAUGCAAGUCGAGCGAGAAGACGUAGCAAUACGUUUGUAAAGCGGCGAACGGGUGAGGAAUACAUGGGUAACCUACCCUCGAGUGGGGAAGUAACUAGCCGAAAGGUUAGCUAAUACCGCGUACGCUCCUUGGACUUCGGUUCAGGGAGGAAAGCGAUACCGUGGGUAUCGCGCUCUUGGUUGGGCUCAUGUCCUAUCAGCUUGUUGGUGAGGAACGGCUCACCAAGGCUUCGACGGGUAGCUGGUCUGAGAGGACGGUCAGCCACACUGGCACUGCGACACGGGCCAGACUCCUACGGGAGGCAGCAGUAAGGAAUAUUGCGCAAUGGGCGAAAGCCUGACGCAGCGACGCCGC